rnacentral:rRNA from 1 species
AUACUGUGGAUGCGAGCGUUAUCCGGGUUUAUUGGGUUUAAAGGGUCCGUAGGCUGUGCGUUAAGUCAGGGGCGAAAUGCGGUCGCUCAACGACGGAGCUGCACUUGAUACUGGCGUGCUGGAGUACGGACGCCGUUGGAGGAAUGAGUGGUGUAGCGGUGAAAUGCUUAGAUAUCACUCAGAACACCGAUUGCGAAGGCAUCUGACGAAUCCGUCACUGACGCUGAGGCACGAAAGCGUGGGGAUAGAACAGGAUUAGAUACCCUGGUAUUCCACGCCGUAAACGAUGAUGACUAACCGUCGGCGAUAGACAGCCGGUGGCCAAGCGAAAGCGAUAAGUCAUCCACCUGGGGAGUACGUCGGCAACGAUGAAACUCAAAUGAAUUGACGGGG